AAUUCUAAAUUUUUUAUUGUAUUUAACACUUUAAGGUCAAGUAAAAACUUAAAAAAUGCAUUCAAUUAAAAUUGUUUUUAUUCCAGAUUAAGAAAAUAGCAAAAAUUCACAUAAAAAUGUUUAAGGACUAUUCAAGAAAAAAUAAAAUUUUUUAUUAUUAUAAAAUAUUGAAUGAAUCUUGGUAAAAAUAGUUCUUUAUUGCAUUACUCCGUUUUAAAAUGACGCGUGACAUCACAGGUUAAAACAUUGAUUGGAUGCCUGCCUAUUUCAAUACACGCAUUUCCUCGACACAUCUAUAGUCAUUUAUUUAAACAUUAACUUAAAAUACUCAAAAUGAAAAGCUAUUUUCAUAUUACAAAAAGCUUAGAUACUUUAUUAUAACCUAAUACCAACAUCCUAUUAUAAUAAUGAAUAUUAAAAGCAGAAAAAGUUAAUUUAUCCAAAAUAGACUCAUAUUUUUGUUUGUUCAUGUACCAAUACAAACAAUAAUAGUACAAAUGCAAUGCAGUUUAUGGGUUUUUCUAAAUUCGUUUUAUUUUGUUAUAUAAUAAUAAGUAGGUAUUGCAAUUUGUUGCAAAAUAUUGGAUUGCGUAUUGUUUCAAUAUACAUUCAUUAUCAUGGAUCAAACAUUGUGUUUUAAAAUGUUUUUAAAACCAUGAAGUUUUGAGCCAAAUGUUGGUGAUGGAUUUGAACACAAUUAUUCUAUAUCCUUAUGUUUAGUUUGAAUUCAACAUGACCUUGACAAAUUUUCGGAAUGGUGUUUCAAAAAUAGUCUUUCAAUAAAUGCCGGGAAAUGUUAAUGUAUUUCUCUCUCUAGUCAAAAGAAUAAAUCUAUCUUUCCUUAUGAUAAAUGUUUUUUCCUUAAAUUAUACUACUUCUAUUUGUGAUUUGGGUGUACUAUUGUUUUCAGACUCAUCAUUUAAUACCCAAAUCGAUAUAAUAUAUAGUAAAGCAUUACAUGUUUAGGAUUUAUUAAACAUAAUUGUUUUGAUUUUAAAAAUAUUAUAUGUUUAAAGGUUUAUAUACCAUUCCCUCGUUAGGUCAAUCUUAAAAUUCUCAUCAGUUGUUCAGAAUUCUAAAUAAAUUAGUUUAAUUGAUAAACUUGAUAAAAUAUGUUGUUUUUUGAGAUAACAGCUUUUAAACUAGGAAAGACUAAUGUGGGUUUAGACAUUAUUACUAUAGAACUUGGUCUUGAAUCAUUAUCUUCUAGAUGUUUAUAUAACGAGGUAGCUUUUAUUUAAAGGUUAAUUUCUGGGCUAUUAAUUUGCCUAGAAUUCUUAACCUAGAGAUUUUAAUAAAGCUAGUGUAAAUUAGAUUUAUUUUUUUUCUAUUAAGUUUUUCACAUCUGCUUAUAGAUGGUAAGGUAAGAGAAGUGUUCCCACAUUUUGUUUUUUAAAUAGUAUGAUAAACAUUAGAUUUUAAUUUGAUCACUACUUUUGUGUCUGGAAUAAGUUGCUCGUGUAAUACACCAAACUCAUUGGAAUCAUCACUUUUAAAAUGGGAUGAAUAAAUUCUAUUAUUUUUUUCCUAGCAUAAAACGUUUACAUUUACAAACAUUAACCCAUACUUUAUAUCUUUUAGGAGUUGUUCGCGUUUUGAAAACCUAUAAAAAGGAUGUUCUGAUUUUCUUCUUUGUUGCUAUAACACACACAACCGAAAACCAAACACAACAUU
rnacentral:lncRNA from 1 species